rnacentral:rRNA from 1 species
CCUACGGGUGGCAGCAGUGGGGAAUAUUGGGCAAUGGGCGCAAGCCUGACCCAGCAACGCCGCGUGAGGGAAGAAGGCUUUCGGGUUGUAAACUUCUUUUCGCAGGGACGAAACAAGUGACGCUAGCUGAGGAAUAAGCCACGGCUAACUACGUGCCAGCAGCCACGGUAAGCCAGAGGUGGCGAUCGUUCUGCGGAUUUACUGGGUGUAAGGGGCGUGUAGGCGGGAAAGUAAGGCAGAUGUGAAAACCAUGCGCGCAACCUGUUGCCUGCAGUUGAAACUGGUUUUCUUGAGUGCUGGAGAGGUAGGCGGAAUGCCUAGUGUAGCGGUGAAAUGCGUAGAUAUUAGGAGGAACACCAGUGGCGAAGGCGGUCUGCUGGACAGCAACUGACGCUGAGGCGCGAAAGCGUGGGGAGCAAACAGGAUGAGAUACCCCGGUAGUC